GGGCCUAUCUGGCGCAGAUGAUUGACCGGUCUUGAAAACCGUCGUGGCAGCGAUGUCACCGUGGGUUCAAAUCCCACACCCA
rnacentral:tRNA from 1 species